CAGCCCUCAGCACCUGCAGGCCUGCAAGAGCAGGGGUCGUACUGGUGAGCUGGCAAGCCGUGGCUGAAGGUGCAUCCGGUGCGGAUGGCUUUCAAUUGCGCGCCGCUGUCAUGCGCAGCAUGCGCGGCAUGCCUGGUGGCCUGUUGGGCUGGGAAGGGGCUGGGGUUGACGUGCGGGUUCUGGCAGCGUAGCGCACAGUCGCUGGCGCUUGACCUGUGCAAGCGACGGGACAAACAAGGAGAUUCAGGGAUGGGGAUUUACAAUAGGCCACAGCGCGCAAUCCCAGCACGUUCUCCCCUCCCCUCUGCCGCCAGGUACCUGGACACGCGGCGAGACGAGUUUGCGCAGAUCGGCCGCAGCUGGUCUGACCUCAAAGCGGUGGCGGACAAGGUGGGCGGGGGCUGCUAGGCACGUUAUCAACAAACGAUGUGGAUCGGGCCAGACUGUGUGCGCUUCCGAGUGACUUUGAGUGCGGGCGCAUCCGCUAUCCAGGCAGAUUGCAUGCCCACACUUGCAAAGCUGCCCGCAUUCCCCCUUUA
rnacentral:lncRNA from 1 species